rnacentral:rRNA from 1 species
GUGGGGAAUUUUCCGCAAUGGGCGAAAGCCUGACGGAGCAAUACCGCGUGAGGGAUGAAGGCUCAUGGGUUGUAAACCUCUUUUUUCAGGGAGGAAUUCAUGACGUGUACCUGAAGAAUAAGCAUCGGCUAACUCCGUGCCAGCAGCCGCGGUAAGACGGAGGAUGCAAGUGUUAUCCGGAAUCACUGGGCGUAAAGCGUCUGUAGGUGGUUUAACAAGUCAACUGUUAAAUCUUGAAGCUCAACUUCAAAAUCGCAGUCGAAACUAUUAGACUAGAGUAUAGUAGAGGUAAAGGGAAUUUCCAGUGGAGCGGUGAAAUGCGUAGAGAUUGGAAAGAACACCGAUGGCGAAAGCACUUUACUGGGCUAUUACUGACACUGAGAGACGAAAGCUAGGGUAGCAAAUGGGAUUAGAUACCCUUGUAGUCC